UACGGAGGGUGCAAGCGUUACUCGGAAUUACUGGGCGUAAAGCGCAUGUAGGCGGUUUAGCAAGUCCGAUGUGAAAUCCCACGACUCAAUCGUGGAAGUGCAUUGGAAACUGCUAGGCUAGAGUUAAGGAGGGGUGAGUGGAAUUCCUGGUGUAGAGGUGAAAUUCGUAGAUAUCAGGAGGAACAACGGAGGCGAAGGCGACUCACUGGACUUUUACUGACGCUGAGAUGCGAAAGCGUGGGGAGCGAACGGG
rnacentral:misc_RNA from 1 species